rnacentral:rRNA from 1 species
UACAGGGGGUGCAAACGUUGCUCGGAAUCAUUGGGCGUAAAGCGCACGUAGGCGGUUUGUUAUGUCGGAUGUGAAAGCCCUUGGCUCAACUGAGGAAGUGCAUCCGAAACUGGCAAGCUAGAGUACUAAAGAGGGUCGCGGAAUUCCCGGUGUAGAGGUGAAAUUCGUAGAUAUCGGGAGGAACACCGGUGGCGAAGGCGGGGUCUCUGGGGCCGAUACUGACGCUGAGAAGCGAAAGCGUGGGGAGCGAACAGG